UCGUUGAACUGAUGGUUUUAUUAAAAGGGUAAAUAAGAUCUCCCUCCGCUCUCUCCACGUUCCGUCGGCCACUCCAGCCAUCGAUGGAGCUGCUCGCGGCCAAUCCCUCCACCCACCAGCCUCCCUCCCGGCAACCCCGACCCCAUCCUAGGUGCGGCGAUAGGCGACGGUGGCGGCGCUCGCAGGGGCGGCCGCCAGCGGCGAUGUCGCAGGACAUCGACGCGCCUAAGAUCCCUGGCUACUCGAAUGACUUCAUGCUCGUACGCCCCCCUCCCCCCUCUCCCUCCUCCCCGCCUCUCCCGAGUGAGUGGAGCAGCUGGCCCCGGUUCCUGAUUUCAAGCCCAUGGCCGGGUGGCCGGUGGAGCCCCGUUCUGGCGGGCGCGCGACCGCGGAGCCUCUCGAUUCUGAACCCGUGGCCGUGUGGCCGGCGGAGCUCCGUUCUGGUCAGGCACGUGAUCUUGGAGCCUCCCGAUACAGAGCAUGUGGUCGGGUGGCCGGCGGAGCUCUGUUCUGGCCGUUCCUCAGCCCGUGCGGCGCCAACGACCCUGUCCACCCGGCGCCACCAACCGUUCUCCCCCAACGGCCUCCUGCAAGCACAGCGAUGAGAUGUUCAUGUCGUCGUCUACUGCAGUUCACUAUUUUGUGCUUUUUCUGAAGAUAAAUGGAAGUGCAAAUGCAAUCCGCUAGUGAUUUGCUCUUGAGGUUCAUUUUACUUAUGUUUGUAGGAAAAAAGGUUGGUGUGCUUCGGUUGGAUGCCCCGUUACUAAAAAAAAUUGUUGAAAAACUGCAGUUUGUUGUAAAGAUAUACAGUAUGUUUGAGUGUGCAAGUGCGAUGUGCUACCAAUUUCCGUCAGCAUAUUCAGGACUUCAGGCAGACUGUUGUUCAGCCCAAGCAAGCCACUAAUCAGUUAAAGGAAAUUUGGCAGCGGACGCCUGCUGACUUUGUCAAAGUUAACUUUGAUGUUGCCUUUUAUGCGGAUACUGGACAGGGAGCCUGGGGGUGUGUUUUUCGUUCAGAUCAAGGUUAUUUCUUGACGGCCAGACAGAUAUAUGCAGCACAUCUUGGGACCUCUGCAUGCCGAGACGAUGACAGGUUUGAGGGCAGCAGAAGCGAGUGAUGAAUUUGGCCUACACAGAGUGGUACCCGAAUCUAACUCCAAAGUCCUUGUCCAAGCUCUGAACUCUGAUGAUUACGACCGGGCCACGAUUGGCGUCCUGUUACACGAGACGUGUAGUGUAUGUCAUGCAAACUUUGAGUCAUUUAGUUUCAAUUUUUGUAAAAGUGACUGUAAUAAGGCGGCCCAUGAACUAGUCAUGUUUGGCUUCAGGGCAAGAGCUGCUGAUCUUUCGUGGAUCGAGCAGGCUCCAGACUGUGUUUCGGUGCUGGUCGCCAGCGAGAUCGCUGCGCGGGUUUGGUAAUAGAAUGAAUUUUCCGGUUAAAAAAAGAAGCUGAGAAUUGCCUAUAAUACAGUGGAAGAUUUAACAACGAGAAGGCUGAGUUUGAGCAAGCUUCCUUCAGAAAAGCGCUGGGUGAAAAUGGUAGUCGCAGUAACACUUGGACUGCGGUGAUAGCUCGACUUGGACAGCUCCCAAUGAUUGUGGAUCCCCUGGCUGCUGCAAGUUUGACAUGGUGAAGAUGGUGC